CCUACGGGAGGCAGCAGCAAGGAAUUUUGGGCAAUGGACGAAAGUCUGACCCAGCGACACCGCGUGAGGGAAUAAGGCCUUCGGGUUGUAAACCUCUUUUCUUGGGGAAGAAUCUCGACGGUACCCAAGGAAUAAGCCUCGGCCAACUACGUGCCAGCAGCCGCGGUAAUACGUAGGAGGCGAACGUUAUUCGGAUUUACUGGGCGUAAAGGGAGCGUAGGCGGUUCCUUAAGUCGGAUGUGAAAUCUUCUGACUCAAUCGGAAGGCGCCAUUUGAUACUGAGGGACUUGAGAGCAGCAGAGGGAAAUGGAAUCUCCAGUGUAGCGGUGAAAUGCGUAGAUAUUGGAGAGAACACCAGUGGCAAAGGCGGUUUCCCAGGCUGCUUCUGACGCUGAGGCUCGAAAGCGUGGGGAGCGAAGCGGAUUAGAUACCCGCGUAGUCCACGCCCUAAACGGUGGACACUAGAUAUGGGAGGUAUCGACCCUUUCUGUGUCGAAGCUAACGCUUUAAGUGUCCCGCCUGGGGAGUACGGCCGCAAGGCUGAAACUCAAAGAAUUGACGG
rnacentral:rRNA from 1 species